UAAGCAUAUCACUGAGCGCAGGAGAAGAAACUAACCAGGAUUUCCCUAGUAACGGCGAGCGAACCGGAAAGAGCCCAGCUUGAAAAUCGUGGCGCCCCGGUGCCUCGAAUUGUAGUCUGGAGAAGGUCCCUCUGCGGCGCGCCGGAUUCAAGUUCCCUGGAAUGGGACGUCCGAGAGGGUGAGAACCCCGUCGUAUCCGGAGUGCGUCGCUCCACGAGGACCUGUCUGCGAGUCGGGCUGUUUGGGAAUGCAGCCCUAAGCGGGUGGUAAAUUCCAUCCAAGGCUAAAUAUUGGCAAGAGACCGAUAGCGAACAAGUACCGCGAGGGAAAGAUGAAAAGGACUUUGAAAAGAGAGUUAAAAAGUGCUUGAAAUUGCUGGGAGGGAAGCGAAUGGAAGCUGCGGGUGCGCCCCGGUUGGAUGUGGAACGGCCGUCAAACGCUGGUCCGCCGCUCAACGCGGGGCGCUGGUCAGCGUGGGCCAUCGCGGCGGGACAAGAGCGGGGAUUCGCUUCCCGCCGAUGCCGCUGCGGUGGCCGAGGAACGAAGCGCGCGCCUUCCGGCGUGGGAUUCGUCCCAACUGCGCGCUCGAGACGCUGGCGUAUUGAGCUCUUCAUCCGACCCGUCUUGAAACACGGACCAAGGAGUCUAACAUGUAUGCGAGCCGGUGGGCGGCAAACCCAUUGAGGCGCAAGUAACCUGACAGGUGGGACCCCGCUUGCGGGAGCACCAUCGACCGACCGUGAUCUUCUGUGAAGGGUUC
rnacentral:rRNA from 1 species